rnacentral:rRNA from 1 species
AUUGAACGCUAGCGGGAUGCCUUACACAUGCAAGUCGAACGGAGUGGCGAACGGGUGAGUAAUGUAUCGGAACGUGCCCAGUAGCGGGGGAUAACUACGCGAAAGCGUAGCUAAUACCGCAUACUAUUGGAGCGGCCGAUAUCGGAUUAGCAAGUUGGUGGGGUAAAGGCCUACCAAGGCGACGACCCGUAGCUGGUCUGAGAGGAUGAUCAGUCACACUGGAACUGGGAAACGGCCCAGACUCCUACGGGAGGCAGCAGUGGGGAAUAUUGGACAAUGGGCGAAAGCCUGAUCCAGCCAUGCCGCGUGUGUGAAGAAGGUCUUCGGGUUGUAAAGUACUUUAAGUUGGGAGGCGUUACCAACAGAAUAAGCACCGGCUAACUUCGUGCCAGCAGCCGCGGUAAUAC